GGGGUGCCGGCGCGCAGGACGGGACGCCAGGGUUUGUGUGGCGGCAGCUCGGAGAGCCGGAACUGAAAGACCAGAAACCAGCCUGCCCUAGUCAAAGAAAGUUAGGGCCCAACCAGCCUCUCCACAAGAAGCAGGGUAAGGUGGGGCAUUCAUCUCUCUGGACCCUUUUCCCCAGCCUGAGCCAGCCUUUGGGUGAGUUUCCUGCUAUCGGGAAAAUUCCUCCUCCAGUCUAACUAUGAUCACUUACAAUGAAGUUCAUUUCUGCCUCUCAGGGUCUCCCAUUUCUCUGGAGAAACCAGAAGCACAGAGAGGCCUGGGACAGAGCCUUGGGUUAGCAGGGUCCUGCCUGAUUCUGGCCCCAAAGGGCAUGGGAGAAGAAGGGAGGGAGGGGAGACCCAACCUAGAUCCAGCAGUUCUCUGCCCUGGCUCAGCAGUGGGGCCAGGCUGCAGGUUUCAAGCCCAACUCAGCACUCUUGUAGGUGCCAAUUUUAGCCUCUGCCACUAUUUUUGGGCUCCACUACCUCACCACUGGCUGAGCUGGUUGGGCUCCUCACCCCCAGCACUACCCCCACACUGUCCCUCCGGCUUCCCCUCCUUCCUAGCAACUCCUUCACCUCCUUCUUCACCCAUUCCCCUGUUUAGAAUCCUUAAAUAGCAAAGACCAGGAAAAAGGGAGAGGAAAUAAACCGUGCCCAGUUCAGGCUGGAUGGACAUUAGAAAGCAGGAAGGACUUCCGCAGGGCCACGGCUUGUUCUUUCUGGCUUGCACCUGCCAAGGAUACCUACGGGGAGGGUGUAGGAACUCCCCCAAACCAAGAGGCCUGAGGCUCCUGGCCCCAGAACUCCAGACUCACCUCCCCUGAGGUGGGCAGCCAAGACUCAGGAAUGUACUAAAUUUAAAAACAGACAGCCAGAGGCUAGAAUCUUGGCCUCAAGGUUCCACCCACUGGAGGCCCAGAGACAAGAUCUAGGGUGGGACCUCAGCUUCUCUCCCAGGCCUGGGGCAGGAGGGUGCUGCAAGCUAUGGAUAGAAUCUUAAAGGGCCACACUCCAGCCUGGGUACCCAGGAAACAUAGAAUUUGAACCCUGGGGUUUUUCAAGCGACCUCACGGUCCCUCAACUCAACUAAGAAGGUCUCUAUGAAAGAAGAGGACCCGACCCUCCAACUCUUUUCUGUCUCCCACCCCAACCUUCAGUCUACUUUCCAUCCCACCUGCUGUUACCCUACCCCUCACCCUAUGCCCUCUUCUUCCCCUUAGGAGAUGAAUAACAAGGAAAGGGACUAGGGACAGGGAAAAGAAAAGUGUUCUGCCUUUAAAAACACCUGUGUUUAGUGAGCUUGGCCUGCAGCUUGACUCAGUUUCCGUUUUCUAUAUCCUCUUGAACAAUGAACACUUUUCCCUUCUCCUUGGUGUCACCUGCCCCCCUUUUCCAAGACCCUUCUUCAUUCCAGCGUCCCCUCUACUCCUAUCCAGUGAUAUCUUCCAGAUUUUCAGAAAUAAUUUUUUUAGAUACACAGAAACAAACAUUUCUACCAGGAUCUAAAAAUAGCCACCACCUUCUUUAGCCCAUUUAACUUGAUGAAAUGUGUCCCUCCCAUUUCAGGGGUAGGGAGGAGGUCCCAGCGAAGAACCUGGUUGCCAAAGUCUUGGCCAAUUGGAGAAGAGAUGGGUCUCCCGAGGAUACCCAAGCCCAAGCUCUACGCUGUCCCAAGGUGGUUUGUUUUUCUUCUUUCUUCUAUUGGUCUGGACCUUGUAUAUUCUGGGAGGAGGUGAUUACGGCCAAAUUGCCUUAAGUGGCCAUCCAGCCAGAAGCUGGAAGAAGGGAAGGAUGAGAGGGAAUGAACUGUUGUGUUAGGGCUAUUGAGAGAAACAGUGGCAAUACACAGCCAAAGCCCUGAGUUUCUAAUACGGCGCCACCUCUUAUGAGCUGUGAGAUCUUGGGCAAAGUAACUAACCUUUAAGUAUUUGUCUGUAGAAUUGAGAUUGAAAUACUUAUCUUUGCCAGAAUUGUUAUAAGAAUUAAAUGAGUUGAGAGUGUUUCAUCAAGUGUGCAAUGCUACUCAAGUAGGAGGGACUAAGCUACUUCCUUCUCUCACUGCUUGACUGAGCUUCUCUCCAGCCCCACCCCCUGAUGUUUACUGCUUAUGGAGAAAGAGAUUAAGUGAAGCAGGCCCACACAUUCAUGAAGGUGGAAGGAAGAUGUAGCAGGAGAUGGCGGAGAGGGAAACAGAGGAAGACAGGAUGACAGACGUGGGGAGGAAAGGCUGAGCGAGGCAAUGUCCUGACUCACUCUGGCGCUUCCCUCUUUCCCAUCUGGGCUCCAGAGUCUCUGCCCUCAUUCCCCUUCACCAUGUUGCUCAACCCUCCAUCAGACUGUUAGGUCAAGGGUGGACAAACAGACCAACCGGGAUCUGGAUGGCCCCUGGGCAGUACUGACUUCCCCUACCAUUCCCACGGCAAGAAAAGGGAGUGAUUCCACUAGCAGACUCCCCUACCCUGCAGUGAGACAGCCUGUAGGAAGCUUUCAGAUUCUCCAGCUGCUCCUCUUCUGAGACUCACCCAGUCUCAUGCCUCCAUUAGCCUCAACUCCUGACCCAUGGCCUGUGGUGAGAGGUGCUAACAACAUGACCUGCUUUCGUCUUGACCUUCCCAGCCCACCCAGAGAAAAGGGAAUCUUGGCUAAAAAAAGGCUGGAAGAGGGGAAAACCCUGGCACUGCGGGUGGGGCUGGGAGGAGCCCAGGCAACCUUACUGGUGAGAAUCUCAUGGCUCUUCAAGGUGAAUAUGAUGAUGAUUUCCCUGGGGUUUCUUUCAAUACUCAGAAGCCGCCCCGAGUUGGAAAGCACAUGCAUACUUGGGGAGGCCAGGGUAGGAAAAGGGGGGCGGCUCACUCUGACAGUAAAUGAAGAAAGUGGAAACAAAUUCAAGGAGCAGGCAGAGCUCCUGGUUUCACCAGAGCCCAACGGUUGGUAAUAAGGAUGAGAACAAUGUGCCUUCACUUCCUGGGAUCAGAACAGCACAUGGCCACACAUGUACGGGUAUGCAUGUGCUUCCAUAAUCAUAUACUUUCCCAGCUUCUACUCUGCCUGUGGUCUAAUUUCAACUCCUUCAGCUGCUGUACCCACCCAUAAAAUUAUGAGUGUAAAAGCACUUUACAAACCCUGAUACUCUAUGAAGAAGUAAAAAGUAGUGCUGUAAUUAUUAUCAUUAUUAUGUCCAAUGGUUGAGGUUUCUGCUGCCCACCUGUCAGCUAUGUGAGGCCUAAAGAGAGGGAGGGCUAGGCCAUUCCUCAGCUUCUGAGGUUCCUGGCCCUUUUCCCCUUCCAUCUGUCCACAGCUGACUGCUAAGCUGGAGGCGUAGGGGAAAGCAGAGAAAAGGUGAUUUACUGGGACACAGAGACACAGGCUGGAAGAGAUAGCAUGUGUUUCCUUAAAAUUUGAAGCAUUUGGCUGGGCACAGUGGCUCACACCUGUAAUCCCUGCACUUUGGGAGGCCAAGGCAAGAGGAUUGCCUGGGCCCAAGAGUUAGAGGCUGCAGUGAGCUAUGAUUGUACCAUUGUACUCCAGCCUGGGAGACAGAGACCCCCUCUCUUAAAAAAAUAAAAAAAUAAAAAAUGGAA